GGAUAGGAGAAUUGGAGGGCAAGUUUGGUGCCAGCAGCCGCGGUAAUACCGACUCCAAGAGUGUGUAUGAGAGAUGCUGCAGUUAAAAAGUCCGUAGUCAUAGAAGGGCAAAGAGAGAUGCGAGGUCUCACAGUGCGAUGAUGGAGGAGCCGAUGGGGAACAUAGUAUACCAGGGCGAGAGAUGAAAUGCCAAGACCCCUGGUGGACUGAGCGAGGCGAAGGCGAUGUUCUUGUAGGCAUUCGGUGAUCAAGGACGAAGGCUGGAGUAUCGAAAGUGAUUAGAUACCGCAGUAGUUCCAGCAGUAAAAGAUGCCGACAUGCUCAUUGGACACAGUGGGCAGGGAGAAAUCUUAGAGUUCGGGCUCUGGGGAUAGUAUGCUCGCAAGGGUGAAAAUUAAAGAAAUUGACGGAGCUACACCACAAGGAGUGGAUUGUGCGGCUUAAUUUGACUCAACGCGAGGAAACUUACCAGGGCCAAGUAUUGUGUAGAAACGAGCAAUACAGGAGUGGUGCAUGGUCGUUGGAAAUUGAUGGGAUGACUUUGACCUUAAAUGGUUGAAUGAGUGAGAUCUUUUGGACAUGUUCCGCACGGAACAGGAAGGAAAAGGCUAUAACAGAUCCGAGAUGCCCUCAGAUGCCCUGGGCUGCACGCGCAAUACAAUAGCAGGUAGAGAGAGAGACAGGAAGGUGCUCAGAUGGACUAUGUGCUGUAAGGCACAUACGAAAGAGGAAUUCCUAGUAAGU
rnacentral:rRNA from 1 species